CAUGAGUGGCGGACGGGUGAGUAACGCGUGGGCAACCUGCCCUGUACAGGGGGACAACACUUAGAAAUAGGUGCUAAUACCGCAUAACGGGGGGAGCCGCAUGGCACCCCCCUGAAAACUCCGGUGGUACAGGAUGGGCCCGCGUCUGAUUAGCUGGUUGGCAGGGUAACGGCCUACCAAGGCGACGAUCAGUAGCCGGCCUGAGAGGGCGGACGGCCACACCGGGACUGAGACACGGCCCAGACUCCUACGGAAGGCAGCAG
rnacentral:rRNA from 1 species